UGUACUACAUGGAAGUUCUUUCCCCU
rnacentral:piRNA from 1 species